rnacentral:rRNA from 1 species
CACGCCGUAAACGAUGGGUACUAGGUGUAGGAGGUAUCGACCCCUUCUGUGCCGGAGUUAACACAAUAAGUACCCCGCCUGGGGACUACGGCCGCAAGGCUAAAACUCAAAGGAAUUGACGGGGGCCCGCACAAGCGGUGGAGCAUGUGGUUUAAUUCGACGCAACGCGAAGAACCUUACCAGGGCUUGACAUCCUCUGACGCCCAUAGAGAUAUGGGGUUUGGUCUUCGGACUGACAGAGAGACAGGUGG